rnacentral:sRNA from 1 species
GGAGAUCCCUGACGACAUGGGAUCAAAAGGCCUGAAGCAUGUGACUUCUAAUGCCAGCGAUAGUGAAAGUAGUUACCGUGGUCAAGAAGAAUACGUCUUAUCUUAUGAACCAGUGAAUCAACAAGAAGUUAAUUAUACUCGACCAGUGAUCAUAUUGGGACCUAUGAAAGACAGGAUAAAUGAUGACUUGAUCUCAGAAUUUCCUGACAAAUUUGGAUCCUGUGUUCCUCGUAAGUAAACCAAACAAAAACUUUUGUUACUCUUAACAUUUCCUGUCACUGCGUGUGGGAAAAAUAGAUAUAACCAUUAUUUAAUGGUUUGUAUUUAUCAGUUACUCUUCCAUCCUCCAUAUUAUUGUCCUUUCUCAGAUUUAAAUUAAUCUGUUCCUUUGAACUUUACAAUGAUGUAAGUAGAAAAUGGAUUUAUUGUGGGUUUUUUUUAAAUAUUAAACACUUCCCCAAGUUUUUCUCUGUUAAAGAUACAACUAGACCAAAACGAGAUUAUGAGGUAGAUGGAAGAGAUUAUCAUUUUGUGACUUCAAGAGAGCAGAUGGAAAAAGAUAUCCAGGAACAUAAAUUCAUUGAAGCUGGCCAGUAUAACAAUCAUCUAUAUGGAACAAGUGUUCAGUCUGUGCGAGAAGUAGCAGAAAAGGGCAAACACUGUAUCCUUGAUGUGUCUGGAAAUGCCAUAAAGAGAUUACAGAUUGCACAGCUUUACCCUAUCUCCAUUUUUAUUAAACCCAAAUCCAUGGAAAAUAUCAUGGAAAUGAAUAAGCGUCUAACAGAAGAACAAGCCAGAAAAACAUUUGAGAGAGCUAUGAAACUGGAACAGGAGUUUACUGAACAUUUCACAG